AGUUGCCUUUUCCUAUUCUCCUUUCCAAUCUUCGUCUUUUUCUCCCGCCUUUUCAUCUUUCCUGUCCUUUUCACUUCUCUUCACUUCCGAAUUUCCUGGCUGCAAGGGUUAACCUGGGUGUAUAUAUCCUCUCGGGUUAUAAUCUUGGGUUUAGCGGCGAUGCAUGGCUGGCAUCUGCAGGUAUUCUUCCAACCUAGUAGCGUCCCUUGUUGGGCUCGGUUGGUGGGUGGCCACCAUCGCCGCCGAAAUUUCCCAUGCUAU
rnacentral:lncRNA from 1 species